ACUAAAUUAUUCCCUUUUAGGAUGCGCCAGUUUUAUAUAUAUAAACAACAAGUUGAUUCAUGCAGUACAAACAUGUCAGCAGAAGAUCAACUUGUUGUUUAUAAAUGUAAAACUGGCACAUCCUAAAAGGGAAUAAUUUGUAGUGUAUGC
rnacentral:miRNA from 1 species